rnacentral:rRNA from 1 species
AUGCAGAGUGUAGCCAAGGCCUUAUGGCCAUCCGACUCCCCUCGAGGGAGUAUGGAGAAGCUUGUAGAGUUGUUCAAGGGAGCGCGGCGGUGUAUCCGACUAUGGAAGAUAUCGGCCUGCAGAGAGGGUGCGCGAGAGGCCUGGGCCAUGGUAAAAACACGAUAUGACAAGGUGGAUACGAAUCACAUGGCUCGGGUUGGACCACUAGGGUCAAAUGGGGAAGAAAUUCCCGUUAGUUUAGUAUAUGGCCAAGUAGAGGUGGCUGCUAGAUACUCCCAAUACGAUUGUAAAUUGGACUACCUGUUGGACGGUAUAGAGGAGGAAGUUUUUGAGUCCUAA